UUUUUAUUUAUGUAUAAUUACGACAAGCAACAGUUAUAAAAUAUGGAAUAAAUCAUAUAUUACAAUAAUCCUUUUUUUAAAUAAGGUUUAUCACGCAAGAUUUUUCUAAAGCACCUAAGAAAAUGUACUUAAUUAUUUUUACGCCAUCACAUAAUAGAAACAGUACUAGUCUCUCCAAUCAUGCAUUUUUUGCCUCCACACGCAUCUCGAGUUACAACUAAUUGUUCAAAACUAAAGAGAAUUGGAAAUCUGUCAUAUCCAUAAACGGUGAUUAGGGAAGUGAAUGAACACAAUCAUUUAUUUUUUGGUAUACUAGUGAUUUGCUCCCUGAACUUAUACCUAACUUUCGGUUGACCCCCUAUCCUUUUUUUUAGAAACUUAGGCAUAUAAACUUUUUGUUUCCGCCAAUUUCCCCUCUACCAUCUAAAUUCUCAACAUUUUAUCCAAUUUUCAGUUAAAUCAUUUUUAAAAAUUGAAGAAAAAGAGUAAACCUAAUGCCAACCUCUUCCAUCUCCUCCUUUCCCUCUCCCAUUCCCCCAUGACCACCAUCCUUUACUCCCAGACCAAUCCCCCACCCCCACACCCUUCAACCCACAGACCUUUCCCUCCUCCUCUUCCUUUCUUUUCUUUCACCCACAGACUCAUCACCAUCAUCCCCCAACAAACCUUCCUCCAUUUCCACCGUCACCGCCUCUCUCUCUCUCUCUCUCUCUCAAUUUCAAUACCUCCACACUUGAGAAGCUCACAGUCGAUCCAAGCCUUUCAAAAACAAUCGAAAGGUAAAUUUCUUGAUCAUAAGGCAUAAGUGGCUCUUUUAUAGGUGCCUUACAGCCUCCCAUCUCAAGCUUUUUCCAAAUUCACACAAGACCCAUCAACCAAAACAUCAAAAAAUUCAAUCUUAAACACUUGGACUUGCAAAAAAAGAUCAAAAUCUAACAGAAUUUACCUCCAUGCCAUCGGAUAGCAUUUGGGGUGGGAGGUUGUGGGGAAGAAGAAAAAUCAUUGGGGAGGGUUAGGGUGGGGUGGAGGGGCCAUUGGAAGUCAUAUGGGGAGAGGGAG
rnacentral:lncRNA from 1 species